CAGGGUCUAACGACUGCCCAAACCAAACCGUGAACUAUUCCACAAACAUAUGCUCCGGCGGGCCGCUCGCUGGGGGAGCCCCGGGCCGCUUUGUCGGUGGUCCGCCGGAAGCAUGCAAACCAAAUACUACUCUGAGAACUGCUCUGAGAAAAUAUCUUUCUAAAUGAAAUAAAUUA
rnacentral:misc_RNA from 1 species